ACUCCUACGGGAGGCAGCAGUGGGGAAUUUUGGACAAUGGGCGAAAGCCUGAUCCAGCAAUGCCGCGUGUGUGAAGAAGGCCUUCGGGUUGUAAAGCACUUUUGUCCGGAAAGAAAUCCUUGGCUCUAAUACAGUCGGGGGAUGACGGUACCGGAAGAAUAAGCACCGGCUAACUACGUGCCAGCAGCCGCGGUAAUACGUAGGGUGCGAGCGUUAAUCGGAAUUACUGGGCGUAAAGCGUGCGCAGGCGGUUUGCUAAGACCGAUGUGAAAUCCCCGGGCUCAACCUGGGAACUGCAUUGGUGACUGGCAGGCUAGAGUAUGGCAGAGGGGGGUAGAAUUCCACGUGUAGCAGUGAAAUGCGUAGAGAUGUGGAGGAAUACCGAUGGCGAAGGCAGCCCCCUGGGCCAAUACUGACGCUCAUGCACGAAAGCGUGGGGAGCAAACAGGAUUAGAUACCCUAGUAGUCCC
rnacentral:rRNA from 1 species